rnacentral:rRNA from 1 species
AGACAGAGGGUGCAAGCGUUAAUCGGAAUUACUGGGCGUAAAGCGUGCGUAGGCGGAUUGUUAAGCGAGAUGUGAAAGCCCCGGGCUCAACCUGGGAACUGCAUUUCGAACUGGCAGUCUAGAGUUUUGUAGAGGGUGGUGGAAUUUCCAGUGUAGCGGUGAAAUGCGUAGAGAUUAGAAGGAACAUCAGUGGCGAAGGCGGCCACCUGGACAAAAACUGACGCUGAGGCACGAAAGCGUGGGGAGCAAACAGGAUUAGAAACCCCGGUAGUCC